UACGGCCAGAUCACUUUGAAACUCCGGUUCCCGUAUGAUCACUGAAGUUAAACAACGCCGAGCCUGAUCAAAACCUAGAUGGAUGACCGCUUGGGAAUACC